UACGAAGGGGGCUAGCGUUGUUCGGAAUCACUAGGCGUAAAGGGCGCGUAGGCGGCUUUAUAAGUCGGGGGUGAAAGCCUGUGGCUCAACCACAGAAUUGCCUUCGAUACUGUAGAGCUUGAGACCGGAAGAGGUAAGUGGAACUGCGAGUGUAGAGGUGAAAUUCGUAGAUAUUCGCAAGAACACCAGUGGCGAAGGCGGCUUACUGGUCCGGUUCUGACGCUGAGGCGCGAAAGCGUGGGGAGCAAACAGG
rnacentral:rRNA from 1 species